ACUGUGAAGGAAAGAUGAAAAGCACUUUGAAAAGAGAGUGAAACAGCACGUGAAAUUGUUGAAAGGGAAGGGUAUUGCGCCCGACAUGGGGAUUGCGCACCGCUGCCUCUCGUGGGCGGCGCUCUGGGCUUUCCCUGGGCCAGCAUCGGUUCUUGCUGCAGGAGAAGGGGUUCUGGAACGUGGCUCUUCGGAGUGUUAUAGCCAGGGCCAGAUGCUGCGUGCGGGGACCGAGGACUGCGGCCGUGUAGGUCACGGAUGCUGGCAGAACGGCGCAACAC
rnacentral:rRNA from 1 species